UGUGGCCCAUGAGCUGGACUGGGCAGCUCCCGUGUCCUGCCCGGCCUCAGGACCGCGGUCACUGCAGCCGGGUGUCCAGCAGAGCCUGGGCAGGGCAUGCUGGGCUACCAGGCUGGGCCACGCCAGGAUAAAAAGGUGCAGAGAUGAGCGGUGGGGGGCAGCAGAUCCCUGCCUGGCCUCACCUGUGCCCUGCAGACAAGGGCUGGAGCAGUCCCGGGGUUUCCACUGACUCUUGUGCUAUAAACAGGAACAUCAAGCAGACUUAUCUUUGGCUGUGCAAGGGUAAUGGUGAAGAAGAACAGAACUGUGGAAAUGUCACCAUGGCUGUCGGAUGCAUUGAGCUGAGGCCCACUGACCCCUGGUCACUCUGGUUAACAAGGCAGAAGUUCUCCAGCAACCUUUCUUACGAUAGAAUGCUCCAGGAGAUGGAAUGCUGCAUUGUGAAAACCAGCAAAUAUGAAAACCAUUUGUGAAAGAACUCUGCAGAAAGUUUGAUUUUUCUCUUCUAUGGCUGGUUUUGCUUUCCUGAACACAGUAUGAUACACUGUUAAUGCUCUUGCUAAUUGCCAGUUGAGCAGGAACUCCUCUUAGAAAAUGUGAGGAAAGGGGAAAAAAAAGCAAAGACAAAGUAUGUUUUCUUUACAAAUCACGUUGUGAAUACAAACUCUGCUGUGGGACAGAAGCUCAUCUGAGUCCUUUAGAAGGCUGACAUAAGGUGGUAGCAUUUCUGGAAAUGCUAGAGUUCUUUUUAUAUUUACCUUCCCCUCUUUUUCUUUUUAACCACAAUUCUUUCAAAUACAUUUUCUGUUAAGAGUUGACAUUUCUCCUCUGCAUGAUUUCUGUUCCUGGUAGUUUACCGUGUGAUCUCAUAGCUGCAGCUGAAUAAGCUUUAAAAACAUUACUUUGCCUUUAACUUAGGAUUCUAUCUUUCAAAAGUUCCAUUAAGUUCUAAUUUAGAAGAAGAAAAACAUAUGGGGGAGGAGGGCUAAGCAAAAGUCUGUAUAAAAACACUGUUGGAAGUUCCAGAAGGCAGCCGUGCAAGCUCCUAGUUUUUAUUGCUCAUACAUAGCAUACAUUUUUGAAGGAAACAAAUAAUCAGAUAUUGUGCAUGGGUCUUUGUGAGCUGUAGAAAAGAUGGCAUUCUACCAUGCAUUGCAGGCUGUGAAACACACAGAGUUCUUCAAGGCUGGGUGGGGGACUAGGAAAAUAUGGUUGGUGGCUGUGAACCUGCUGAGGAGGAGGCAGUGUAACCUGCUAAAGACAUUUAGUUACUUCUUGUGGACAACAGCUAUCUCCUAAUUCCAACUUUAAGGUCAGAAGACAUUUAUAAUAUUUAAUAAGACCAAUAAUGCUUCUUUUUCUCCCUAAACCAUUGAUAAAUGGAAAUCCUUUGAAACAUUGUGAUGAAGCAUUUUGUUGUCAUUGCUUGCACUGCUAGUAGAUAUUAAGCAGAACAUUGAUGAUUGAAUUCAAGCAGACUGAAUCUAAAAGUGUUUUGGAGAGUUAUUUUUAGACUGUGUAAUUGCAUUAAUUGAAUUUGCCACAUGGUUCUGGAGUAUUUGUACAUGUAGGAAUAGAUAGCAGUGGCCAAAGUAACUUGGAAGCAGGAGAUCUUAAACUAGAUAAAUAUGAUGUGAAAUUUUACAGCUUCAUUGCUCAUAAAAAUAGUCCCUGUUCAUCUGCUUGGACAUAUCGAUGUUGGUACUAAAAUGUUUCCAGGACUGGACCUUCAGCUGAGUAAUUUUGUGUUUUUUAAUGCCAAGUGUUGUUAUUUUCGUAGACCCUCAUCAAGAAAAGUUCUGCCAGUCUGUUCUACUAUAACAUUUCUGGUCUGAGUUUACACUUGUGAUGCCAGGAAGAUUAAGUAUGACAUGUCCUGUGAGUGGAGAGAGAUUUUCCUGCUUCCCACCAAUUCUUCUCUCUGAAGCAUUGUGGGAGGCUACCUCUUUUCAUUCACAUCUCUUGAUCACAGAGGCAAUCACCAGCUGCAGACACAGUUCACAGAAAACAUGAAUGGCAUCCAUCUAAGACAAGAAUUUAUAACUUUUUUCUUGCUGUCAAUAUUAUUCUGUGCUUCAAACAUAGCAACUUAUGGUGCUGUGAGUGCUCAGUGCCUCACAGAAGGCUUUCAUCUUCACAAUUUUUGUGGAUGAGCAGAACAAACCAAAGCCUUGGAUGCGGUUCUUGUCAAAACAACUCUCUAUCUCUGCUUUCAGUAUAUUUUUAAGUUAUAUAACAAAACUGUAGAGAAGACAAAAGCAUGAAUCUGUAUUGUGAAGAUAAGACAUGGAAGUGGGAGCUAGAGAUGAAAAUUAUUUCUGACUGUGCCAUGGCUCUUGUGUAAUCCUGGGCAAAUCACCUGGCUCUUACAUAGAAUAGAGACUUAAAUUUAUAGGUAAAUAGUUUUCUAAGCCUAGUAAAUAAUCCCAUUAUGCCUCUGUUUGCCUUUUUGUGAAAUGGAAAUAAGAGUAUUCCUUUUGCUCAUAAAAUGGUUGGAAUACUCUUGUGAUAGGCCAUAUGGAAAUGUCUAUGUGCAGUCCUUAAAAUGAAAAGUAUUCCUUUGGAAUUAAAGAACAGCAAAAUCAGUGUCUCUAUCUACCUUAAGCUUUAUGCCCCCUUCUUUCUUGUAUUUUGUUUCUUUCUCUUUUUCUUUUUUUUUCCCUCCUGCCUGGUUUCAGGGGCUCAGUGCUGCAAUGAAUGGAGCUUUCUAGGGAAUGCAGCUGUUCCGUCCUAGAAUUAAUAUGCAAAUGUUCUUCUCUUACUGAAGCGGGGGAGGAAGAUGGAACAUAGCUGUAUUUUCUCUAAUCAACAUACUCCUUUUUUCAUUGGGAACUACAACAAAGCUGACUGUCAACUGCACAAAUAAUGGAAUAUUUCUUUUUGUAGAAAUAAACAUUUUCAUAAGCAUA